rnacentral:rRNA from 1 species
GACGGAGGAUGCAAGCGUUAUCCGGAAUUAUUGGGCGUAAAGCGUCCGUAGGCGGUUUCAAAAGUCUGUUGUUAAAGCCCACAGCUCAACUGUGGAUCGGCAAUGGAAACUGUGAGUAUAGAGAGUGGUAGGGGUAGAGGGAAUUCCUAGUGUAGCGGUGAAAUGCGUAGAGAUGUGGAGGAACACCAGUGGCGAAGGCGACUUUCUGGCCUAUAACUGACGCUGAGGCGCGAAAGCGUGGGGAGCAAACAGG